UUUCCGUAGGUGAACCUGCGGAAGGAUCAUUAAUGAGUUGUCAUGGGGUUCGAUGCUGGCAGCCAGUUUUUGGAUGCAUGUGCUUGCCCUAACAAUCAUCUUCUUCCAAACACCUGUGCACAUUUUUGAGGGAGUCUUGAGUUGGUUGCCGCUUUUGGGUGAUUUUCUCACAUUCCCUUAAAUCAUUAUACGCUAUUAACAAUGUUGAACGUGCUCUGUGCCGCAAGGCCAUUAAUAUAAUACAACUUUUAACAACGGAUCUCUUGGCUCUCGCAUUGAUGAAGAACGCAGC
rnacentral:misc_RNA from 1 species